UACGUAGGGGGCAAGCGUUGUCCGGAAUUACUGGGCGGAAAGAGCUCGUAGGUGGUUUGUCGCGUUGUUCGUGAAAACUCACAGCUUAACUGUGGGCGUGCGGGCGAUACGGGCAGACUGGAGUACUGCAGGGGAGACUGGAAUUCCUGGUGUAGCGGUGGAAUGCGCAGAUAUCAGGAGGAACACCGGUGGCGAAGGCGCACAUCUGGCCCGAUACUGACGCUGAGGCGCGAAAGCUAGGGGAGCAAACGGG
rnacentral:rRNA from 1 species